GGUGUAUACAAUUUGUCUCUUAGAGAAAUUCAUCUCACUUUUGCAACUUUGGAAAAACUCUGCGAUCAACGAUAGAUUUUCAAAGGAAUCAUUAAUAAUACCAAGUCCUUAGCAAUGGUCUACAAUAGGUUGUAUCUUUAGAUUAAGUGAGAGGACAAGAAUUGUGUUUGCAAAAAUAAAAAGAAGUUUCAUCACAAGAAACUCAAAUUCAGUAAAGGAGGGAAAAAGAAAAUCAAAUCUUACAUGUUUUUUAAGA
rnacentral:misc_RNA from 1 species